rnacentral:tmRNA from 1 species
GGGUAAAGGCAAAAAGUGUUGACGUCCAUGGUAGCAUGUCGAGUGUUUGUCAACUCGUAACCUUGGCAUAUUUAAAUAUAAUCGCAGACGAUUAUAACUACGCUGUAGCUGCUUAAAGCGGCUUCCGUCCUCCUGGUAUCCCUCUUGCAGAUUCAGGUCAGGGCGUCGACUUUGCAAGACCGCUUUUGAAAUUUCCUGGGUUUCAAAAGUUAAAUUUUUCAGGAUAUACCGGGUUGCAUCCCUCCUGAAGGAGACUUUCCGGCCAAUUUUAAAGUUCAGGAUAAGCAUGUAGAAGCCUGGAUUGAUUGUUUUCGGACACGGGUUCAACUCCCGUCGCCUCCACCA